rnacentral:rRNA from 1 species
GUGCCAGCAGCCGCGGUAAUACGUAGGUGGCAAGCGUUAUCCGGAAUUAUUGGGCGUAAAGCGCGCGUAGGCGGUUUUUUAAGUCUGAUGUGAAAGCCCACGGCUCAACCGUGGAGGGUCAUUGGAAACUGGAAAACUUGAGUGCGGAAGAGGAAAGUGGAAUUCCAUGUGUAGCGGUGAAAUGCGCAGAGAUAUGGAGGAACACCAGUGGCGAAGGCGACUUUCUGGUCUGUAACUGACGCUGAUGUGCGAAAGCGUGGGGAUCAAACAG